rnacentral:rRNA from 1 species
GUAUGAAUGGCCACACGAGGGCUUUACUGUCUCUUACUUCCAAUCCGUGAAAUUGACCUUCCCGUGAAGAGGCGGGAAUAUGACAAUAAGACGAGAAGACCCUAUGGAGCUUUAAUUAACCGACCCAAAGAGAUCUUGAUAAUCAACCGACAGGGAUAACAUACCUCUACCAUGGGCCGACAAUUUAGGUUGGGGUGACCUCGGAGAAUAAAACAACCUCCGAGUGAUUUAAAUCUAGACUAACUAGUCGAAAGUACUACAUCACUUAUUGAUCCAAAAACUUGAUCAACGGAACAAGUUACCUUAGGGAUAACAGCCCAAUCCUAUUUUAGAGUCCAUAUCGACAAUAGGGUUUACGACCUCCAUGUUGGA